AUUGAACGCUGGCGGCAUGCCUUACACAUGCAAGUCGAAGGGCAGCACGGACUUCGGUCUGGUGGCGAGUGGCGAACGGGUGAGUAAUAUAUCGGAACGUGCCUAGUAGUGGGGGAUAACUAGUCGAAAGAUUGGCUAAUACCGCAUACGAUUUACGGAUGAAAGUGGGGGAUCGCAAGACCUCAUGCUAUUAGAGCGGCCGAUAUCAGAUUAGCUAGUUGGUGGGGUAAGAGCCCACCAAGGCGACGAUCUGUAGCUGGUCUGAGAGGACGACCAGCCACACUGGGACUGAGACACGGCCCAGACUCCUACGGGAGGCAGCAGUGGGGAAUUUUGGACAAUGGGGGCAACCCUGAUCCAGCAAUGCCGCGUGUGUGAAGAAGGCCUUCGGGUUGUAAAGCACUUUUGUCAGAGAAGGAAACUGUUGCGCUAAUAUCGCGACGGGAUGACGGUAUCUGAAGAAUAAGGACCGGCUAACUACGUGCCAGCCGCCGCUGUAAAAC
rnacentral:rRNA from 1 species